CCUACGGGUGGCAGCAGUGGGGAAUAUUGCACAAUGGGGGAAACCCUGAUGCAGCGACGCCGCGUGAGUGAAGAAGGAACUCGGGGUGUAAAGCUCUAUCAGCAGGGAAGAAAAUGACGGUACCUGAGUAAGAAGCCCCGGCUAACUACGUGCCAGCAGCCGCGGUAAUACGUAGGGGGCAAGCGUUAUCCGGAUUUACUGGGGGUAAAGGGCGCGUAGACGGCACUGCAAGUCAGGAGUGAAAGGCGGGGGCGCAACCCCGGGACUGCUCUUGAAACUGGAGGGCUGGAGUGCAGGAGGGGGAAGUGGAAUUCCUGGUGUAGCGGUGAAAUGCGUAGAUAUUAGGAGGAACACCGGUGGCGAAGGCGGCUUACUGGACUGUAACUGACGUUGAGGCUCGAAAGCGUGGGGAGCAAACAGGAUUAGAUACCCUAGUAGUC
rnacentral:rRNA from 1 species